ensembl:lincRNA
AGAGAUACAAGUGUAGACCCUGUUUUCAGCUAUUCAAUUUUUCUAUUUCCCAAACCCAUUUGACAUGUAACUCUUCAAAUCACCAGGUUCCUCAAAAAACAAACAACAACAACAAAAAAACCCAACAAAACAUGAAGAAGCCAAAUCUGGAGGAUGAGUUUUCCAAAUUAAACACUGAAUAUUGUUGUAGAGUAAAAUGAUACUGUUUGUAAAGAGAUGUUUUUACUAGACAUCCUCUUCCUAGCCACCUAUUAAGGAAUAACUAGAAUAUAUAUUAACAGGAAGACAUCGGAAAUUAUCUUUGCACCUGAGAAAAUGUUAAGAUUCAGAAUUUGGCUGGAUGCUACUAAAGAGCUACUGAAAUAGACUCAAUGGCAGCUACAAUGCCCAACAGAAGCAGCGAUGCCUGGUGCACAUAGCAGGUUGCUAGCAGGAGUCUCCUGGGGUGAUUCACCUGUCUUGUUGGUGAGGAUAUGGACAUCAUCUGGGGACUCUCAGAAAUCCCUGAAGUGAUAUAGAGUCCCACAUGAGCUUGCCUAUGGUGUUUUACAAACCAAUAAUGUAGUGUUCAUAAACCAAAGUCACUUGGAGCUUUCUUCUUUGUAUAUGCAAACAUAUUCUGGGAGUAUGGCACUUAACAAGAUGGCAGAAAAAAAUUCAGCCAGGAUUCAACACUUUCCCACACAUCAUCAACACUUGACUAAAGUGCCACCUAGUGCCAAGCAAGAGAAGCAAGUCAGGUCUCAGGUUUAGAGUCACAUGAAUCAUUUCUUCAUUUACUUUGCAUCCUCUGUCAAGGGUUAGUUAAAAUGGAUCUUCUUCGGUGUCUCUCAUCUCAGAAACAUUAACAGGAAGUUGUAAGUGGCUCUGUUCAAGUCAUCAGCACUGACAACAUUAAGAAUCAUGGAGAAACUUAACUCAUUCUUAACAAUCAGAAAAUGAACAUUGGGUAUUUCCUUGUAAAUUUCAAUUUAAAAGUAAAUAAAAAUUAUUAAUAUAAGGUCAAUAAAUGUUCUUCAAUGGAAAUUUAAUUAAAUAAAUAUGACAUAUCCUUUCAACAAAGUCUAUGUAAGUCAAAAAUUAAUAUGCUUAAUGAUACAAAAAACAUUUAUG